rnacentral:misc_RNA from 1 species
AGCAGCCGCGGUAAUUCCAGCUCCAAUAGCGUAUAUUAAAGUUGCUGCAGUUAAAAAGCUCGUAGUUGAAUUUCGGGAUCAAUAUGUUGGUCGUGCCUCGGUACGUACUAGCUUAUUGGUUUCUCCCUUCUGACGAACCAUGAUGUCAUUUAUUUGGUGUUAUGGGAAAUCAGGACUGUUACUUUGAAAAAAAUUAGAGUGUUUAAAGCAGGCUCACGCUUGAAUACAUUAGCAUGGAAUAAUGAAAUAGGACGUUUGAUUCUAUUUUGUUGGUUUCUAGGAUCGACGUAAUGAUUAAUAGGGAUAGUUGGGGGCAUUAGUAUUCAAUUGUCAGAGGUGAAAUUCUUGGAUUUAUUGAAGACUAACUACUGCGAAAGCAUUUGCCAAGGAUGUUUUCAUUAAUCAAGAACGAAAGUUAGGGGAUCGAAGACGAUCAGAUACUGUCGUAGUCUUAACCAUAAAUUAUGCCGACUAGGGAUCGGAUGAUGUUAAUUUUUUAAUGACUCAUUCGGCGCCUUAC